ACCGUUUGUUGUCUUUGGGUGU
rnacentral:siRNA from 1 species